GACGUAGGACGCAAGCGUUAUCCGGAGUUACUGGGCGUAAAGCGCGGGCAGGCGGCUCGAAACGUCUGAUGUGAAAUCUCCUCGCUCAACGGGGAGAGGCCAUUGGAAACGGUCGGGCUGGAGGGCAGUAGAGGCAGGCGGAAUUCCGGGUGGAGUGGUGAAAUGCGUAGAGAUCCGGAGGAACACCAGAGGCGAAGGCGGCCUGCUGGGCUGCACCUGACGCUGAACCGCGAAAGCCAGGGGAGCGAACGGG
rnacentral:rRNA from 1 species